AUGGCGGCGGAAGGGGAGGACAAGAAGGAUGCUAAUUCCGUUGGAGGCGGCGGCGGCGGCGGCGAGAACACCCUGGAGGCGGCGGAGGAGGCGAUUCUGCAGGCGGUAGGGCAAGAGCCCGGUCAAGAAUUGGAGGGCGAGGUGGAGGAGAGCGCAGAUCGAGAGGGGAACGGCGACGACGCUGGGAAGGAAGAUAGUGGGUGUAAAGAUCUGGUCCUGGUAGAGGACCCUGUCCUGGUCGAGGAUCCAGAGGAAGGAUUCCGCUACAAAUCUGACGUCGGGUUCUUUAAGCAUGGAAAAUCUGAUUUAUUCAUUGUUAUGCUAGCUUUUCUUAAUACUGACGAUGCACAAAACAUUAGAUUUUGGGUUUACCAUUGCUUCGCUGUCAUUGUUGUCUUUAUGUACAAGGCCGAGCUAUCGGUAGCAACUGCAGCACUUCAGGAAGAAAUGAGAGCGCUUUUCGCGUCUGUCCCUGAAGGUGCUGGGGCAUCAUUUACUGCGAUGCAGCUGCAGGAGCUAGAGCAGCAGUCUCGUGUAUACCAGUAUAUGGCUGCCCGUGUGCCUGUGCCUACCCAUCUCGUCUUCCCCAUCUGGAAGAGUGUUACCGGUGCAUCCUCUGAAGGCGCGCAGAAUUACCCUACAUUGAUGGGAUUGGCAACACUCUGCUUGGACUUCGGGAAGAGCCCAGAACCAGAACCAGGAAGGUGCCGGCGAACAGAUGGAAAAAAGUGGCGGUGCUGGAGAAAAACAAUCCCAAACGAGAAAUAUUGUGAACGCCAUAUGCAUCGUGGUCGCAAGCGUCCUGUACAGGUUAUUGUUGAGGAUGACGAGCCUGAUUCCGCAUCAGGGUCAAAAUCGUCAUCUGGCAAAGUCACUGAAGGAGGCAAGAAGACUGACGACAAGAGUUCAAGUAGCAAGAAGCUUGCAGUGGCAGCACCAGCUGCUGUGGAGUUUACAUGA
rnacentral:rRNA from 1 species